rnacentral:rRNA from 1 species
GACGAACGCUGGCGGCGUGCUUAACACAUGCAAGUCGAACGGAAGGGCCCUGCUUUUGUGGGGUGCUCGUGUGGCGAACGGGUGAGUAACACGUGAGUAACCUGCCCUUGUCUUUGGGAUAACUUCAGGAAACUGGGGCUAAUACCGGCUAGGAGCUCCUGCUGCAUGGUGGGGGUUGGAAAGUUUCGGCGGUUGGGGAUGGACUCGCGGGUUAUGAGCUUCUUGGUGUGGUAGUGGCUUACCAAGGCUUUGACGGGUAGCCGGCCUGGGAGGGUGACCGGCCACAUUGGGACUGAGAUACGGCCCAGACUCCUACGGGACGCAGCAGUGGGGAAUAUUGCACAAUGGGCGGAAGCCUGAUGCAGCAACGCCGCGUGCGGGAUGACGGCCUUCGGGUUGUAAACCGCUGUCGCCUGUGACGAAGCGUGAGUGACGGUAAUGGGUAAAGAAGCACCGGCUAACUACGUG